rnacentral:rRNA from 1 species
GUCGAUUAGCCAUGCUAGUCGCACGAGUUUAGACUCGUGGCAGAUAGCUCAGUAACACGUGGCCAAACUACCCUAUAGAUCCGGCCAACCUCGGGAAACUGAGGCUAAUCCGGAAUAACGCUUUCAGCCUGGAGUGGCGAGAGCGUGAAACGCUCCGGCGCUAUAGGAUGUGGCUGCGGCCGAUUAGGUAGACGGUGGGGUAACGGCCCACCGUGCCAGUAAUCGGUACGGGUUGUGAGAGCAAGAGCCCGGAGACGGUAUCUGAGACAAGAUACCGGGCCCUACGGGGCGCAGCAGGCGCGAAACCUUUACACUGCACGCGAGUGCGAUAAGGGGACUCCAGGUGCGAGGGCAUAUAGUCCUCGCUUUUCUCGACCGUAGGGAGGUCGAGGAACAAGUGCUGGGCAAGACCGGUGCCAGCCGCCGCGGUAAUACCGGCAGCACAAGUGAUGACCGCUGUUAUUGGGCCUAAAGCGUCCGUAGCUGGCCAGACAAGUUCAUCGGGAAAUCUGUGCGCCUAACGCACAGGCGUCCGGUGGAAACUGCCUGGCUUGGGACCGGAAGACCUGAGGGGUACGUCUGGGGUAGGAGUGAAAUCCCGUAAUCCUGGACGGACCACCGGUGGCGAAAGCGCCUCAGGAAGACGGAUCCGACGGUGAGGGACGAAAGCUCGGGUCACGAACCGGAUUAGAUACCCGGGUAGUCCGAGCUGUAAACGAUGUCUGCUAGGUGUGACACAGGCUACGAGCCUGUGUUGUGCCGUAGGGAAGCCGUGAAGCAGACCGCCUGGGAAGUACGUCCGCAAGGAUGAAACUUAAAGGAAUUGGCGGGGGAGCACUACAACCGGAGGAGCCUGCGGUUUAAUUGGACUCAACGCCGGACAUCUCACCAGCAUCGACAGUGUGCAGUGACAGUCAGUGUGAUGAGCUUACUUGAGCCACUGAGAGGAGUGCAUGGGC